CUGGCGUGCGAAGGUUUGGCCCGAACAUCAUUUUGCUUUCAUUCUAACCUUUAAAAGUCUACACAACACGGCUGGGGCAAUCCAAGCUCGUUUGAAAGUGGAUUGGGUGAGGGAGUGUAGCGCUAAUGCCGUGUGUCUGAUCCGCCGUUGCUAGUCUGCAGGAUUUAUCGGGGCGCUUUUAUCAGGGGCUCCGCCGUGUAGGCUACACACACUACACCCACUCCCACGUCCUUCCUUUCCAGUGGCAGAGCUGCGAGAUAAGGCGUGUGUGAUUGACAUUAUUCUAGAGCAUUGUACGCUGUAGCUGUGGCUGACUUGGUGCAGAGUGCAGUUAGAAUCUGACGCCCCCACUGCUCCUUUCCUACUGGGCCUUUAAUUGGAUCCUUAUUACCAUUCCGGCUCCCCCCAAUGAUGAAUUUAGAGAGAGCAAGAGAGGGAGAGCGGACUGAAAUUCCUAAUGAAUAUUCAUGCCUGCAGGAUAUUUGGGGUCAGCGGUAAUCAGGC